rnacentral:rRNA from 1 species
UACGGAGGGUGCAAGCGUUAUCCGGAUUCACUGGGUUUAAAGGGUGCGUAGGUGGGCAGGUAAGUCAGUGGUGAAAUCUCCGGGCUUAACCCGGAACUGCCGUUGAUACUAUUUGUCUUGAAUAUAGUGGAGGUGAGCGGAAUAUGUCAUGUAGCGGUGAAAUGCUUAGAUAUGACAUAGAACACCAAUUGCGAAGGCAGCUCGCUACACGAAUAUUGACUCUGAGGCACGAAAGCGUGGGGAUCAAACAGG